CAGAUUUUGAUUUAGAUAAUUCUUCAGCACAUCUUCCCACAAUAGUAAUAGCCUCUCUGCGAUUGAUGACCGGCGAGAUAUUGUGGAUAACUCUGUGUCUGGACAAAUGACUGUAAAAUCCAAAUCCAAUUCGAAAGCAGGUGUCACAAUAUUCUCUCGAUCCGUCGAAUUGUUCUCCUGGAGAUAGUAACUUACAUAUAGCUUCAGAUAAUGUUUGAUGUCCUCCCAAAGAUUCAAUACUUUCGGAUCUUCCAAUCUUUCCUCCAACUGUAUCAUUACUCUUGCUAGCGCUAUUCCUGUAAUUUCGUUUUCUAGAAGACAAGACAUUACAGUUUGGAAAGACAUUUCCAUUUCCUUUACUUUCUUCUUUGUAGUCUCUGCAGAUCGUUUCCUCAUCUCCGAAGAACUGGAAGAUGUCGAUCCCUGACAUGACAUGAUUAUGUAUCUAUACACCAAAGCAGUGUAUUAAUAACAGUAACUUUAACAGUAACGGGGUUGUCCAGACUAAAAACAAGGG
rnacentral:lncRNA from 1 species